AUACGAAGGGGGCUAGCGUUGUUCGGAUUUACUGGGCGUAAAGCGCACGUAGGCGGAUUGAUCAGUUAGGGGUGAAAUCCCGAGGCUCAACCUCGGAACUGCCUUUAAUACUGUCAGUCUAGAGGCCGGAAGAGGUGAGUGGAACUCCUAGUGUAGAGGUGGAAUUCAUAGAUAUUAGGAAGAACACCAGUGGCGAAGGCGGCUCACUGGUCCGGUACUGACGCUGAGGUGCGAAAGCGUGCGGAGCGAACAGGAUUAGAAACCCCAGUAGUCC
rnacentral:rRNA from 1 species